rnacentral:rRNA from 1 species
UACGAAGGGGGCUAGCGUUGCUCGGAAUCACUGGGCGUAAAGCGCACGUAGGCGGAUCUUUAAGUCAGGGGUGAAAUCCCAAGGCUCAACCUUGGAACUGCCUUUGAUACUGGGGAUCUCGAGUCCGGAAGAGGUUGGUGGAACUGCGAGUGUAGAGGUGAAAUUCGUAGAUAUUCGGAAGAACACCAGUGGCGAAGGCAGCAUAUUGGCGCUCGAUUGACGCUCAGGCACGAAAGCAUGGGGAUCAAACAGG